CGCUUUCCUCGGUCCCAUCGUUGUUCUCGCUCCACUUUCCUCGGUAAGCUAUCCUUUUCUGGCGCCUCCUCUCUUCUGAUCUAAUGUAGUUGGCUUUGCCGGACCAUGCCCUUGGCUUGGAGCUGCUGCUCUCGGCUCCGAGCACCAUGGCAUCCACCGUUUGUUCCCCAUGUUCAAUGCACAUCAUGGCUAGCGGCUCUCACCCCUGCCGAGACGGCUGGACGCCUCCUCCAUAGCUCGCUGGUGUGUGAGGUGUGCCAUCUGCUCACUGCUGCUGAGCAAGGAUCCAUUCUGGUGUUGCUGCAUCUGAUCAUAUGAUCCGCACCUAUGGAUUGGCCAGACUUGAAGGCAGCGAUGUGCUGGCCGAAAAUAGAGAGGCAAGGCAAGAGGAGGUCAUGUUAACGUUCACGUCUUCAACUGCUACUUGUGGAAGGAAGUUCGGAACAAAAAAAAAAUUGCAUUCUCUUGCGACUUCUUGCAUCUUGGAUGUCAAUAAUCUGUUCAGCUGUUUGUGCUAUGGUUGAUUUGACUGAUAAUGGUGAGCAAAACAUAUGAUGUACACUAAUUAUCAUAUAUAAGCUACUGCAGUAUAAUACUAAUGAAACUUACUGGGUAAUUGAUUUGAUGCUAACUGCAAAUAAGAUUCGAUUUGUUCCUUA